rnacentral:sRNA from 1 species
GCCGGGUGCGGUGGCACACGCCUGUAGUCCCAGCAGCACAGGAGGCUGACGCAGGAGGAUCGUGAGUUCAAAGCCAGCCUCAGCAACUUAGGGAGGCCCUAAGCAACUCAGUGAGACCCUGUCUCUA